AAUUAUAGUAGACUAUAUUUCAUGGUAUUCUGACCUAAUCUGAUCAUAGGUCAACAGAACAUACGUAGUUGCCUAUAAAAUGUUUUACAGACAUCUACCAUAACUUAAGAGGUACUUAAUGGUGUUCUACAAUUCGAUAAAUUGCUUUGCAAUGACCCAGUGUCACAAAUGAUGUAUUUUAUUGAUUGUGCAGCAUAUCCUGGGAUAGCCUUGGAUGUAAUAUAGCUAGACACAUUGGUAAAUUAAUGUUAGCUAGCCAUGCUGCCUCAUGCUAGUUGUGUUAAACCCAGCUAUAGUUUUGUUUCAUUACUGGUAGCUAGCAUGUUCUAUCUAUCAGUGAUCAUUGCCUUGGUGAUUGAUUUGAUGGGUUGUCAUGGAUACAGCACACUACUGAUUACACAGCCAACGACAUGUGCCUCACCAUGCAAUAAUUACUCCAAAUGCAUCUUCUCAUUAUUUAUUUCAUACCUUUCAAUGUCUGUUGGAAACUGGACAUUUUACAGUAAACAAGGUAUUUAUUGAUGAUGUAUGUUUCUUAUCGUGAAAAAAAAGUUGAUUCACAGAAGGAGUACUAGUAGUGGCAAAACUUGCAAAGACAUUGAUUUCUAGCAAUUUUUUGUGAGUUGUGAAUUAGCUAGCCAGCUAAAUAUCUACUUGGGACAAGCUAGCUAGCUAGCUACCGCCAAGAAGAGGAUGAAGACCAUUUGUGCCUUACUGAAUGUACGUGACGAUCAUUAGGAAAACGUCCACUGUCUAGUGCACUCGUCCCAAUCAAAGUUCUCUAUAAACAAUUAGGUCACCAGGCUGCUCGUUAUGGCGCACACCUGUCACCAUCAUCAGACUCACCUGGACUCCAUCACUUCCCUGAUUACCUUCCCUAUAGAUGUCACUCCCUUUGGUUCCUUCCCCAGGCGUUAUUGUUUCUGUUUCUGUGUUAUGUCUGUGCGUUGUUUGUGUUUCUUAUUUUGUAUUAUGUUGUGUUUAUUUAUUAAAACACUCACUCCCUGAACUUGCUUCCCAACUCUCAGCGCACAUCAUCACACAUUCUUAUGGAGGACUGCUCAUACUGGGGAGUGUCAAUAUGGCCGACUGUUGGCUUCAAAGCCUCUCAUUGUCCAGUACAUAGUAUUAACAAUCCAGGUGUCACGUCCUGACCAGUAAAAGGGGUUGUUUGUUAUUAUAGUUUGGUCAGGGCGUGGCAGGGGGGGUUUGUUUAGUGUGUUUCGUUUUUUGGGGGAAAUGUUCUAUUUCUAUGUCUGUGUCUAUUUAUUCUAUUUCUAUGCUUAGUUUAUUGGGUUGACCUUCAAUUGGAGGCAGCUGUUCCUCGUUGCCUCUAAUUGAAGGUCCUAUUUAAUAGGGGUGUUUGUUCAUUGGGAUUGGUGGGUAAUUGUUUCUCCGUAUAGUCAUUUGUCCUUGCGGGACUGUUUUUCG
rnacentral:lncRNA from 1 species